GCCCAGGACCUGUGUGUGGUGCAGACUUCAAAUCUGUAGGCGGUUAGCGCCGCAGUGGUUCGACUCCACCUUUCGGGUG
rnacentral:tRNA from 1 species